rnacentral:rRNA from 1 species
GUAGCUUGCUACUGGACCUAGCGGCGGACGGGUGAGUAAUGCUUAGGAAUCUGCCUAUUAGUGGGGGACAACAUCUCGAAAGGGAUGCUAAUACCGCAUACGUCCUACGGGAGAAAGCAGGGGACCUUCGGGCCUUGCGCUAAUAGAUGAGCCUAAGUCGGAUUAGCUAGUUGGUGGGGUAAAGGCCUACCAAGGCGACGAUCUGUAGCGGGUCUGAGAGGAUGAUCCGCCACACUGGGACUGAGACACGGCCCAGACUCCUACGGGAGGCAGCAGUGGGGAAUAUUGGACAAUGGGGGGAACCCUGAUCCAGCCAUGCCGCGUGUGUGAAGAAGGCCUUUUGGUUGUAAAGCACUUUAAGCGAGGAGGAGGCUACCGAGAUUAAUACUCUUGGAUAGUGGACGUUACUCGCAGAAUAAGCACCGGCUAACUCUGUGCCAGCAGCCGCGGUAAUACAGAGGGUGCAAGCGUUAAUCGGAUUUACUGGGCGUAAAGCGCGCGUAGGUGGCCAAUUAAGUCAAAUGUGAAAUCCCCGAGCUUAACUUGGGAAUUGCAUUCGAUACUGGUUGGCUAGAGUAUGGGAGAGGAUGGUAGAAUUCCAGGUGUAGCGGUGAAAUGCGUAGAGAUCUGGAGGAAUACCGAUGGCGAA